GACGAACGCUGGCGGCGUGCUUAACACAUGCAAGUCGAACGGAAAGGCCCUGCUUUUGUGGGGUGCUCGAGUGGCGAACGGGUGAGUAACACGUCACUAACCUGCCCUUGACUUUGGUAUAACUUCAGGAAACUGGGGCUAAUACCGGAUAGGAGCUCCUGCUGCAUGGUGGGGGUUGGAAAGUUUCGGCGGUUGGGGAUGGAAUCGCGGCUUAUCAGCUUGUUGGUGGGGUAGUGGCUUACCAAGGCUUUGACGGGUAGCCGGCCUGAGAGGGUGACCGGCCACAUUGGGACUGAGAUACGGCCCAGACUCCUACGGGAGGCAGCAGUGGGGAAUAUUGCACAAUGGGCGGAAGCCUGAUGCAGCAACGCCGCGUGCGGGAUGACGGCCUUCGGGUUGUAAACCGCUUUCGCCUGUGACGAAGCGUGAGUGACGGUAAUGGGUAAAGAAGCACCGGCUAACUACGUG
rnacentral:rRNA from 1 species